rnacentral:rRNA from 1 species
GCUGGCGGCGUGCUUAACACAUGCAAGUCGAGCGGAAAGGCCCUUCGGGGUACUCGAGCGGCGAACGGGUGAGUAACACGUGAGUAAUCUGCCCUUGGCUUUGGGAUAACUACCGGAAACGGUGGCUAAUACCGGAUACGACGCACUCAGGCAUCUGAUGUGUGUGGAAAGUUUUUUCGGCCAGGGAUGUGCUCGCGGCCUAUCAGCUUGUUGGUGGGGUAAUGGCCUACCAAGGCUUCGACGGGUAGCCGGCCUGAGAGGGUGACCGGCCACACUGGGACUGAGACACGGCCCAGACUCCUACGGGAGGCAGCAGUGGGGAAUAUUGGACAAUGGGCGGAAGCCUGAUCCAGCAACGCCGCGUGAGGGAUGACGGCCUUCGGGUUGUAAACCUCUUUCAGUACCGACGAAGCGCCGAUGAUGGUGGUGACGGUAGGUACAGAAGAAGCACCGGCCAACUACGUG